GCAUCUGGUGGAUGCCUUGGCAGCUGAAGGCGAUGAAGGACGUUGUAGCCUGCGAUAAGCUUCGGGGAGUCGGCAAACAGACUUUGAUCCGGAGAUUUCCGAAUGGGGAAACCCAUCCCAUCUCUUUUUCGUAAAGAGGGGAUACCUGCACCUGAAUACAUAGGGUGUAGGGGCAAACCCGGGGAACUGAAAUAUCUAAGUACCCGGAGGAAAAGAAAUCAACAGAGAUUCCCUCAGUAGCGACGAGCGAACGGGGACCAGCCCUUAAGUUUAUGGUUUGUUAGUGGAAGCUUCUGGAAUGUAGCGCGAUACAGGGUGAAAGCCCCGUACACGAAAAUGAGCCGUAGAUGAAAUCGAGUAGGUCGGGACACGUGAAAUCCUGAUUGAACAUGGGGGGACCAUCCUCCAAGGCUAAAUACU
rnacentral:rRNA from 1 species